GAUCAUGGCUCAGGAUGAACGCUAGCGGCAGGCUUAACACAUGCAAGUCGAGGGGCAGCAUAAUGGAUAGCAAUAUCUAUGGUGGCGACCGGCGCACGGGUGCGUAACGCGUAUGCAACCUACCUUUAACAGGGGGAUAACACUGAGAAAUUGGUACUAAUACCCCAUAAUAUCAUAGAAGGCAUCUUUUAUUGGUUGGUAAAAUUAACCGUACGUGGUUUAGGUAGAUGGCGAUGCGUUGUUA
rnacentral:rRNA from 1 species